GAUGAACGCUGGCGGCGUGCCUAAUACAUGCAAGUCGAGCGAACAGAUGAGGAGCUUGCUCCUCUGACGUUAGCGGCGGACGGGUGAGUAACACGUGGAUAACCUACCUAUAAGACUGGGAUAACUUCGGGAAACCGGAGCUAAUACCGGAUAAUAUAUUGAACCGCAUGGUUCAAUAGUGAAAGACGGUUUAGCUGUCACUUAUAGAUGGAUCCGCGCCGCAUUAGCUAGUUGGUAAGGUAACGGCUUACCAAGGCAACGAUGCGUAGCCGACCUGAGAGGGUGAUCGGCCACACUGGAACUGAGACACGGUCCAGACUCCUACGGGAGGCAGCAGUAGGGAAUCUUCCGCAAUGGGCGAAAGCUUGACGGAGCAACGCCGCGUGAGUGAUGAAGGUCUUCGGAUCGUAAAACUCUGUUAUUAGGGAAGAACAAAUGUGUAAGUAACUAUGCACGUCUUGACGGUACCUAAUCAGAAAGCCACGGCUAACUACGUG
rnacentral:rRNA from 1 species